rnacentral:rRNA from 1 species
GGGCGCAGCCUGAUGCAGCCUGCCGCGUGUAUGAAGAAGGCCUUCGGGUUGUAAAGUACUUUCAGCAGUGAGGAAGGUGGNUGUGUUAAUAGCANUCUNAUUUGACGUUAGCUGCAGAAGAAGCACCGGCUAACUCCGUGCCAGCAGCCGCGGUAAUACGGAGGGUGCGAGCGUUAAUCGGAAUUACUGGGCGUAAAGCGCAUGCAGGUGGAUGAUUAAGUCAGAUGUGAAAGCCCGGGGCUCAACCUCGGAAUAGCAUUUGAAACUGGUCAUCUAGAGUACUGUAGAGGGGGGUAGAAUUUCAGGUGUAGCGGUGAAAUGCGUAGAGAUCUGAAGGAAUACCGGUGGCGAAGGCGGCCCCCUGGACAGAUACUGACACUCAGAUGCGAAAGCGUGGGGAGCAAACAGGAUUAGAUACCCUGGUAGUCCACGCCGUAAACGAUGUCUACUUGGAGGUUGUGGCCUUGAGCCGUGGCUUUCGGAGGCUAACGCGUUAAGUAGACCGCCUGGGGAGUACGGUCGCAAGAUUAAAACUCAAAUGAAUUGACGGGGGCCCGCACAAGCGGUGGAGCAUGUGGUUUAAUUCGAUGCAACGCGAAGAACCUUACCUACUCUUGACAUCCAUAGAACUUUCCAGAGAGGAUUGGUGC